rnacentral:rRNA from 1 species
AGAUUGAACGCUGGCGGCAUGCCUAACACAUGCAAGUCGAACGGGAGUAGCAAUACUCUAGUGGCGGACGGGUGAGGAAUACGUAGGAAUUUGCCCUUAAGUGGGGGAUAACCCGGGGAAACCCGGAUUAAUACCGCAUGACCUCGAAAGAGCAAAGUGGGGGAUCGCAAGACCUCACGCUUUUGGAGAAGCCUACGUCGGAUUAGCUUAGUUGGUGAGGUAAUGGCUCACCGAAGGCGACGAUCCGUAACUGGUCUGAGAGGAUGAU